rnacentral:tRNA from 1 species
GGCUCCGUAGUGAAGUUCAUUACGAGUUGCAAGCUCGUAGAUGUGCAUUGACCAUGCGCCGGGGUCU